CUUCCUGCCGACAUGUGACACCCCUUGCUUUACUCGUGGCUAGUAAUUCAUACAUAUUCGUGUCAGGUUGUCAUCAUAAACACAUGCAUAAACUUUUUUGCUUAGUCAUUCACUGCAUCAUAAUUUUCAGGUCUAGAAAAAAUGGCUUCUCGAAACCAUGAGGUAUCAAUGGUAAAGGAGAAUGGUGGUGGUGGGAACAACCUGAAGGGGUUGAGCAAGGAAAUGAGACAUGGCAGAACGGCACAUAACAUGUCAUCAUCUUCUUUGCGCAAGAAAUCUGACCUAACUCUUGUGUCUAAGGUUUGCUCUGGCCAUGUAAGGAAUGUGUUGGUGAAUUUGCAAGAGGUUAUUCUUGGAACCAAGCUCUCUAUUCUUUUCCCUGCCAUUCCCCUAGCCAUUGUUGCUGAAGGCUAUGGCUUUGGAAGAUCUUGGGUUUUUGUGUUGAGUUUACUUGGGCUCACACCACUUGCGGAACGAGUCAGCUUCUUGACAGAACAAGUUGCUUUUUACACUGGUCCUGCAGUGGGAGCACUUUUGAAUGCAACAUGUGGGAAUGCUACAGAGCUCAUCAUAGCAAUUUUUGCCCUUAGCCAUAACAAAAUUGCUUUGGUCAAAUAUUCUCUCUUGGGUUCCAUAAUUUCUAACCUUCUUCUGGUUCUUGGAACCUCUCUAUUCAUUGGUGGCCUAGCAAAUCUUAGUCAGGAACAAAAAUACGACAGAAAACAAGCAGAUAUGAACUUGCUUAUGUUGUUUGUGGCAUUGCUUUGCCACUUGCUGCCAUUGUUGUUUCAUUAUGUUGGUGCCUCAGCAGCUGACACUGGAGACUCAUCUCUGCAGUUGUCAAGAGCUGCUAGCAUUGUUAUGGUGAUUGCAUAUUGUGCUUACCUUGUCUUCCAACUGUGGACUCACAGGCAGCUAUUUGAAGCCCAGAAUGAAGAUGAUGAAGAGGGUGGCAGUGAUUCAGAAGCAGUGAUAGGAUUCUGGAGUGGGUUUACUUGGCUGGUUGGGAUGACUAUGACCAUUGCUUUGUUGUCUGAAUAUGUGGUGCAAACAAUUGAGGAUGCAUCUGAUUCAUGGGGUUUGUCUGUUAGCUUCCUUAGCAUAAUCUUGCUUCCAAUUUUUGGCAAUGCAACUGAACAUGCAGCAGCAAUCAUAUUUGGUUUCAAGAACAAACUGGACAUCUCUUUGGGUGUUUCUUUGGGUUCUUCAACUCAAAUUAGCAUGUUUGUGGUAAGCAUUCACCUUAAAAAAAAUGUUUGCAUCCACUUAGCUUUGAUGUUUGAUAUCAAUAUAGGUUCCCCUAUGUGUGAUUGUUGCUUGGAUUAUGGGUAUCAAAAUGGACCUCAACUUCAACCUCCUAGAAACAGCUUCUCUUUCUUUGGCAAUAACAAUCACAGCCUUCGCAUUACAGGAUGGAACUUCUCACUACAUGAAAGGCCUUGUUCUCAUACUCUGCUAUAUUGUUAUUGGGGCAUGCUUUUUCGUACAAAGAACACCCCCUAACCAAACUAAUGUUUCUAACAUAACGCUUAAAUCCGCAAACUGAAGCAGUUUUUGGAGCUUAAUAGGCAUAUUGCUGGUUUUGGUUUCUGUGAGAUAAAGGUUUGCAACAUCCAAACUUUGGAUAAGAUUCAAUGGAUUUGUUAUUUGUUCAUUUUACUGAUUGUCAUCCCCAGACAGAAACCUGAAGAAAUUUGCAUGCAGUAGCUUGCAAUCUAUUUGGUUGUCUGUGUAUAUAGGUCAAUGGAUUUUUUGACAAAAUUUUCAUCUCAUAAUGUAAUAUAGAUGAGACUUGUGGCAUGAUUCUCAAGAAAAAUGAGAACUUCUUUUUGGAACAAGAGGUCAUAUAAGCAAGGAUUUGUUGUAUUUGCCAAUUCUCUAGUAUGACUUAUGAAGUGAGUUUAUAAGUUGGUAUCUAUCUAAACAAUCGUAUCA